rnacentral:lncRNA from 1 species
CCCACAUCAACUUCAAGUAAUUCCUCUCUUUAAUGUAAACCUCUGUAUGAUACAGCAUUUGUCUCUUUAACCUGGCACAUGCCUUUAUAAACACACCUUUGUUUUUUUGCAUGGAGACGUAUUGCCAACAUCGUCAAGGUCCAUCUAAGAAAAUACAAAGCCCAUUAGAAUGAUAUUCAUUUUAUGCACACUUACUUACACCUUAAACCAUACCAAAUGUAUGAGCCUUAGGGAUACGUAGUGAAUUUUUCACCCAAAGCUCAGUUAUUUUCAAUUCAACUGAUGAAUUGAGUGUACUGACUUCAAGGUCACAGGGCAUGUUGGUUGGAUGGCUAAAAUUCUUCAGAAAGGGCUUUGUGUAUUUAUAAGGAUAACAGUAAUAUUCAGAGUGACAUCAGGAGGGUAAUAAAAAUAAUCAAAGGAGUUUAGUGAAGGAAUUAAUACAUUACCAUGUAGAAUAACAAAUGAGGAGUAGGAAAAUGCAAUUCCUCUGUGGGGUUUUGUAUACCUGCCUUCCACUGUGCUGCUCCCACCUCCCUCUGUGGUCCUCAGGGCUGCACACUCUGAGAGGCACACCUCUUUUCCAGCUGGGCAGCAGACACCAAAGAAAUGUGGUCACCGAGCUCUGAUAGAUGAGGCAUGGUUUUACUAAAGAGCACAGAUGACCGUGGUAAAAGUGUAGUGAAGAGCAGGGACUUAAGGAUUUUUGGGUGGUGCGUGCUAUGAGCUCGGCUGUUUCAUGCUGUGGAAAAACCAGAGUGACUGUUCUGCAUUCUUACCUGCAGGUUGCUUGUGCGUGCCCGUUCCUGGCUGCUUGCUUUCCAGCAGUGCAGACAAGCCCGCCGUCCCAUCCUGCCUGGUGCAGCAGCAGCGUGUCGUCAGGCCUUGUGGUAACUCUGCAAUGUGGAGAAACUGGCAUGAGGGACCGCUUUACCAACCCAGUUCUGUCUGCAGUGACUGAGAAAGUAAGGGGAGCAGAGCAGAGGCAAUUCGGUGUUGAAGGAGAAACUCCGAUGAGGAUAACUCAGAAAGUGCACAGCACGGUGAGGCCCAUCCAUUACAGCUGUGGAUUACUAUCUCACCCUGAGCCACCCUCUUAAACCAAACCAUUUUAUUUUCCAAUGCCUUUAAAACACAAGGAAGCACGGACUGAAAGUACCGUGCGAAAGCACGGCAAGGUCAGUUCGUCUGUGCUGUGGAUCCAUGAGGGAUACUUCUGUGUCUCUGCAG